rnacentral:rRNA from 1 species
GCGCAGCAGGCGAGAAUAGUCUACAAUGGACGAAAGUCUGAUAGUGCGACGCCGUGUGUGCGAUUAAUUCCUUCGGGAUGUAAAGCACUUUUCUAUGAGAUAAAAGCUCUUUAGGUUAAUAGCUUAUUGAGACGGAUAUUAUUAUAGGAAUAAGCUCCGGCUAACUCCGUGCCAGCAGCCGCGGUAAUACGGAAGGAGCGAGCGUUGUCCGGAUUUACUAGGCGUAAAGGGCUAGUAGGCGACUAAUUAAGUUAUAUGUUAAAUCCCACGGCUCAACUGUGGUCCUGCAUGUAAUACUGGUUAGAUAGAGUACUGUAGAGGAAGGCAGAAUUCCUGGAGUAGCGGUGGAAUGCGCAGAUAUCAGGAAGAAUACCAAAAGCGAAGGCAGUCUUCUGGGCAGUUACUGACGCUGAAUAGCGAAGGUGUGGGUAGCGAACGGGAUUAGAUACCCGGGUAGU